rnacentral:rRNA from 1 species
UACCACCUAUAAUCGUUUUAAUCGAUGGGGGGACGCAGUAGGAUAGGCGAAGCGUGCGAUUGGAUUGCACGUCUAAGCAGUAAGGCUGAGUAUUAGGCAAAUCCGGUACUCGUUAAGGCUGAGCUGUGAUGGGGAGAAGACAUUGUGUCUUCGAGUCGUUGAUUUCACACUGCCGAGAAAAGCCUCUAGAUAGAAAAUAGGUGCCCGUACCGCAAACCGACACAGGUAGUCAAGAUGAGAAUUCUAAGGUGAGCGAGCGAACUCUCGUUAAGGAACUCGGCAAAAUGACCCCGUAACUUCGGGAGAAGGGGUGCUCUUUAGGGUUAACGCCCAGAAGAGCCGCAGUGAAUAGGCCCAAGCGACUGUUUAUCAAAAACACAGGUCUCUGCUAAACCGUAAGGUGAUGUAUAGGGGCUGACGCCUGCCCGGUGCUGGAAGGUUAAGAGGAGUGGUUAGCUUCUGCGAAGCUACGAAUCGAAGCCCCAGUAAACGGCGGCCGUAACUAUAACGGUCCUAAGGUAGCGAAAUUCCUUGUCGGGUAAGUUCCGACCCGCACGAAAGGCGUAACGAUUUGGGCACUGUCUCAACGAGAGACUCGGUGAAAUCAUAGUACCUGUGAAGAUGCAGGUUACCCGCGACAGGACGGAAAGACCCCGUGGAGCUUUACUGUAGCCUGAUAUUGAAAUUCGGCACAGCUUGUACAGGAUAGGUAGGAGCCUUUGAAACGUGAGCGCUAGCUUACGUGGAGGCGCUGGUGGGAUACUACCCUAGCUGUGUUGGCUUUCUAACCCGCACCACUUAUCGUGGUGGGAGACAGUGUCAGGCGGGCAGUUUGACUGGGGCGGUCGCCUCCUAAAAGGUAACGGAGGCGCUCAAAGGUUCCCUCAGAAUGGUUGGAAAUCAUUCAUAGAGUGUAAAGGCAUAAGGGAGCUUGACUGCGAGACCUACAAGUCGAGCAGGGUCGAAAGACGGACUUAGUGAUCCGGUGGUUCCGCAUGGAAGGGCCAUCGCUCAACGGAUAAAAGCUACCCCGGGGAUAACAGGCUUAUCUCCCCCAAGAGUUCACAUCGACGGGGAGGUUUGGCACCUCGAUGUCGGCUCAUCGCAUCCUGGGGCUGUAGUCGGUCCCAAGGGUUGGGCUGUUCGCCCAUUAAAGCGGUACGCGAGCUGGGUUCAGAACGUCGUGAGACAGUUCGGUCCCUAUCCGUCGUGGGCGUAGGAAAUUUGAGAGGAGCUGUCCUUAGUACGAGAGGACCGGGAUGGACAUACCUCUGGUGUACCAGUUGUCGUGCCAACGGCAUAGCUGGGUAGCUAUGUGUGGACGGGAUAAGUGCUGAAAGCAUCUAAGCAUGAAGCCCCCCUCAAGAUGAGAUUUCCCAACUUCGGUUAUAAGAUCCCUCAAAGAUGAUGAGGUUAAUAGGUUCGAGGUGGAAGCAUGGUGACAUGUGGAGCUGACGAAUACUAAUCGAUCGAAGACUUAAUCAAAA